rnacentral:rRNA from 1 species
AACGUAGGAGACAAACGUUAUCCGGAGUUACUGGGCGUAAAGGGCGUGUAGGCGGUUUGUUAAGUCUGGCGUGAAAGCUCUCGGCUAAACCGGGAGAGGUCGUUGGAUACUGGCAAACUAGAGGAUGGUAGAGGCGUGUGGAAUUCCGGGUGUAGUGGUGAAAUACGUAGAUAUCAGGAGGAAUACCGGUGGCGAAGGCGGCUACCUGGCCCAAUACUGACGCUGAGAUGCGAAAGCGUGGGGAGCAAACAGG